GGGGAAUCUUGCACAAUGGGGGCAACCCUGAUGCAGCGACGCCGCGUGAGCGAUGAAGCCCUUCGGGGCGUAAAGCUCUUUCGACCGGAACGAUAAUGACGGUACCGGGAGAAGAAGCUGCGGCUAACUACGUGCCAGCAGCCGCGGUAAUACGUAGGCAGCAAGCGUUGUUCGGAGUUACUGGGCGUAAAGCGUGCGCAGGCGGUGCUGUAAGACAGGCGUGAAAUCCCCGGGCUUAACCUGGGAAUGGCGCUUGUGACUGCAGUGCUGGAGUGUGGCAGANGGGGAUGGAAUUCCGCGUGUAGCAGUGAAAUGCGUAGAUAUGCGGAGGAACACCGAUGGCGAAGGCAAUCCCCUGGGCCUGCACUGACGCUCAUGCACGAAAGCGUGGGGAGCAAAC
rnacentral:rRNA from 1 species